GUGGGGAAUCUUGCGCAAUGGGCGAAAGCCUGACGCAGCAACGCCGCGUGCGGGAUGACGGCCUUCAAGGUUGUAAACCGCUUUCAGCAGGGACGAAAAUGACGGUACCUGCAGAAGAAGCCCCGGCUAACUACGUGCCAGCAGCCGCGGUAAUACGUAGGGGGCAAGCGUUGUCCGGAUUCAUUGGGCGUAAAGAGCUCGUAGGCGGUUCAGUAAGUCGGGUGUGAAAGCUCCGAGCUCAACUCGGAGAGGCCACCCGAUACUGCUGUGACUUGAGUACAGUAGGGGAGCGUGGAAUUCCUGGUGUAGCGGUGAAAUGCGCAGAUAUCAGGAGGAACACCAGCGGCGAAGGCGGCGCUCUGGGCUGUAACUGACGCUGAGGAGCGAAAGUGUGGGUAGCAAACAGGAUUAGAUACCCGAGUAGUCC
rnacentral:rRNA from 1 species